rnacentral:rRNA from 1 species
UGGGGAAUAUUGGACAAUGGGGGCAACCCUGAUCCAGCAAUGCCGCGUGUGUGAAGAAGCUCUGCGGGUUGUAAAGCACUUUCAGAGGGGAAGAAAAAAUUGGAGCUAACACCUCCGAUCUUGACGUUACCCUUAGAAGAAGCACCGGCUAACUCCGUGCCAGCAGCCGCGGUAAUACGGAGGGUGCAAGCGUUAAUCGGAAUUACUGGGCGUAAAGCGCACGCAGGUGGCUGAGUCAGUCGAUUGUGAAAGCCCUGGGCUUAACCUGGGAAAUGCAGUCGGGACAACUCGGAUAGAGUGUGGGAGAGGGUAGUGGAAUUCCCGGUGUGGCGGUGAAAUGCGUAAAGAUAGAGAGGAACAUCAGUGGCGAAGGCGGCUACCUGGGCACAUACUGACACUCAGGUGCGACAGCGUGGGGAGCAAACAGG